rnacentral:rRNA from 1 species
GCGACCGGCGCACGGGUGAGUAACGCGUAUGCAACCUGCCCUUCACAGGGGGAUAACCGGGAGAAAUUCCGACUAAUACCGCAUACGUCCUCCGGGGGCAUCCCCUGGGGAUGAAAGAUUUAUCGGUGAAGGAUGGGCAUGCGUGAUAUUAGGUAGUUGGCGGGGCAACGGCCCACCAAGCCCACGAUAUCUAGGGGUUCUGAGAGGAAGGUCCCCCACAUUGGUACUGAGACACGGACCAAACUCCUACGGGAGGCAGCAGUGAGGAAUAUUGGUCAAUGGACGAGAGUCUGAACCAGCCAAGUCGCGUGAAGGAAGACGGAUCUAUGGUUUGUAAACUUCUUUAGUGCGGGAACAAAGCGGCGUCGUGACGCCGGAUGAGUGUACCGCAAGAAUAAGCAUCGGCUAACUCCGUGCCAGCAGCCGCGGUAAUACGGAGGAUGCGAGCGUUAUCCGGAUUUAUUGGGUUUAAAGGGAGCGCAGGCUGCGAGGCAAGUCAGCGGUCAAAUGUCGGGGCUCAACCCCGGCCUGCCGUUGAAACUGUCCUGCUAGAGUUCGAGUGAGGUAUGCGGAAUGCGUUGUGUAGCGGUGAAAUGCAUAGAUAUGACGCAGAACUCCGAUUGCGAAGGCAGCAUACC